CGCCCGAGUGGGUGGUUUGAAGCCUCGUCGGCUGGAAUGGGCAGGAGGGGAUUUGAGGGGAUUUGGCUUUGGCGAGUCGCGUUGUUAUGGGGCAAGUUCUUCUCAAAUGUUUAUGUUACCGGUGAACACUGGAGAGGAGAAAGUGAAGCGUGGGCAUAUUGAGUGUAAGGCGUUUGACUUCAGAGCCCUUUGAAGAUGUUCCAGGACGUACUUACGCUUUGUAAACAAGAAUGCUGACAGAAGAUGAAGCAAGGAACAAUAGCUUCCUUCAUAUUCAGUUCAGGAAGAGUGAGUUGUUUUGUUUUCUUCCUGUUCAUCCUUCUGGUAUGUCAAAAAGGCCUGCUUCACAAAUGCAUGGGACUAGACAGAGAUCUCCAGGUCACUGUGUAAAUCCACCCAUUUUGUACCCUGCUGGCAAUGUUGUCUGUAUCACUGACGGAAGAUGGUGUGCUCCUUCCUUAGCCUCAGUGCAGCAGAUGGAGAUAUACUGACCCAUACAACUCAGGGGGAUCUAUCUGCAUUCUUUCCUCAGUCACUUUUCCUCAAG